rnacentral:rRNA from 1 species
AUUGAACGCUGGCGGCAGGCCUAAAACAUGCAAGUCGAACGCCCUAGCAAUAGGGAGUGGCGCACGGGUGAGUAACAUGUGGGAAUAUGCCUUUUGGUACGGAACAACGUUUGGAAACGAACGCUAAUACCGUAUGGUCCCUCCGGGGUAAAGAUUUAUCGCCAAAAGAUUAGCCCGCACUAGAUUAGCUAGUUGGUAAGGUAAUGGCUUACCAAGGCGACGAUCUAUAGCUGUUCUGAGAGGAAGAUCAGCCACACUGGGACUGAGACACGGCCCAGACUCCUACGGGAGGCAGCAGUUAGGAAUAUUGGACAAUGGGCGCAAGCCUGAUCCAGCCAUGCCGCGUGAGUGAAGAAGGCCUUCGGGUUGUAAAGCUCUUUAGCCGACGAAUAUAAUGACUGUAGUCGGAGAAUAAGCCCCGGCUAACUUCGUGCCAGCAGCCGCCGUAAGAC